UACGUAGGGGGCCAGCGUUGCUCGGAAUUACUGGGCGUAAAGGGUUCGUAGGCGGUGCGGCAAGUUGGGAGUGAAAUCUCUGGGCUUAACUCAGAGGCUGCUUCCAAAACUGCCGUGCUAGAGUGCGAGCGAGGCCAGUGGAAUUGCAGGUGUAGCGGUGAAAUGCGUAGAUAUCUGCAGGAACACCCGUGGCGAAGGCGGCUGGCUGGAUCGCUACUGACGCUGAGGAAUGAAAGCUAGGGGAGCAAACAGG
rnacentral:rRNA from 1 species